rnacentral:tRNA from 1 species
GGGUGAUUAGCUCAGUUGGUAGAGCGCCUCUCUUACACGGAGGAAGUCGGCGGUUCAAAUCCGUCAUUACCCA